rnacentral:rRNA from 1 species
GACGAACGCUGGCGGCGUGCCUAAUACAUGCAAGUCGAGCGGAGUUAUUCCUUCGGGGAUAGCUUAGCGGCGGACGGGUGAGUAACACGUAGGCAACCUGCCCACAAGACCGGGAUAACAUUCGGAAACGAAUGCUAAGACCGGAUACGCAAGCUUGAGGCAUCUCGGGCUUGGGAAACACGGAGCAAUCUGUGGCUUGCGGAUGGGCCUGCGGCGCAUUAGCUAGUUGGUGGGGUAACGGCUCACCAAGGCGACGAUGCGUAGCCGACCUGAGAGGGUGAACGGCCACACUGGGACUGAGACACGGCCCAGACUCCUACGGGAGGCAGCAGUAGGGAAUCUUCCACAAUGGGCGAAAGCCUGAUGGAGCAACGCCGCGUGAGUGAGGAAGGCUUUCGGGUCGUAAAGCUCUGUUGCCAGGGAAGAAUAAGGGCUAGUUAACUGCUAGUCCGAUGACGGUACCUGAGAAGAAAGCCCCGGCUAACUACGUGCCAGCAGCCGCAGUAAAAC